UACGUAGGCAGCGAGCGUUGUUCGGAAUUACUGGGCGUAAAGCGCACGUAGGCGGCUUUCUAAGUCGGGGGUGAAAUCCUGGAGCUCAACUCCAGAACUGCCUUCGAUACUGGAGAGCUUGAGUCCGGGAGAGGUGAGUGGAACUGCGAGUGUAGAGGUGAAAUUCGUAGAUAUUCGCAAGAACACCAGUGGCGAAGGCGGCUCACUGGCCCGGUACUGACGCUGAGGUGCGAAAGCGUGGGGAGCAAACAGG
rnacentral:rRNA from 1 species